rnacentral:rRNA from 1 species
UGAGGAAUAUUGCGCAAUGGAGGCAACUCUGACGCAGCCAUGCCGCGUGCAGGAAGAAGGCGCUACGCGUUGUAAACUGCUUUUAACCGGGAAGAAACCCCUUUACGUGUAAAGGGUUGACGGUACCGGAGGAAUAAGCACCGGCUAACUUCGUGCCAGCAGCCGCGGUAAUACGAAGGGUGCAAGCGUUAUCCGGAUUCAUUGGGUUUAAAGGGUGCGUAGGUGGGGCGUUAAGUCAGUGGUGAAAUCCUGCAGCUCAACUGUAGACUUGCCAUUGAUACUGGCGCUCUUGAGUGCGCUUGAAGUAGGCGGAAUGUGCCGUGUAGCGGUGAAAUGCUUAGAUAUGGCACAGAACACCAAUUGCGAAGGCAGCUUACUAAGGCGAUACUGACACUGAGGCACGAAAGCGUGGGGAUCGAACAGG